UUGUAAACUGUAGAAACAUUUUCCUGGCACGCCGGAUUAAUAAGUCCUUUGGAACAAGGCAUCAUGGAGGGUGAGAAUCCCGUCUUUGAUCCGAGUAGUUGUCUUUUGUGAUAUGUUUUCAAAGAGUCAGGUUGUUUGGGAAUGCAGCCUAAAUUGGGUGGUAAAUCUCACCUAAAGCUAAAUAUUUGCGAGAGACCGAUAGCGAACAAGUACCGUGAGGGAAAGAUGAAAAGAACUUUGAAAAGAGAGUUAAACAGUAUGUGAAAUUGUUAAAAGGGAACCGUUUGGAGCCAGACUGGUUUGACUGUAAUCAACCUAGAAUUCGUUCUGGGUGCACUUGCAGUCUAUACCUGCCAACAACAGUUUGAUUUGGAGGAAAAAAUUAGUAGGAAUGUAGCCUCUCGAGGUGUUAUAGCCURCUAUCAUACUCUGGAUUGGACUGAGGAACGCAGCGAAUGCCWUUAGGCGAGAUUGCUGGGUGCUUUCGCUAAUAAAUGUUAGAAUUUCUGCUUCGGGUGGUGCUAAUGUUUAAA
rnacentral:rRNA from 1 species